rnacentral:rRNA from 1 species
GUUUGAUCCUGGCUCAGGAUGAACGCUGGUGGCAUGCCUAAUACAUGCAAGUCGAACGAGGUUUAAUAGCUAGCUUGCUAGUUGCUAAACCUAGUGGCGAACGGGUGAGUAACACGUGGGUAACCUGCCCUUCAGUUGGGAAUACCUAGAGGAAACUUUAGUUAAUACCGAAUACGUACGAGAGAGGCAUCUCUUUCGUAUAAAAGAAGCGAUUGCUUCGCUGAUGGAUGGACCCGCGUCGCAUUAGCUAGUUGGUGAGGUAACGGCUCACCAAGGCUCGGAUGCGUAGCCGACCUGAGAGGGUGAUCGGCCACAAUGGGACUGAGAUACGGCCCAAACUCCUACGGGAGGCAGCAGUAGGGAAUUUUCGGCAAUGGGGGGAACCCUGACCGAGCAAUGCCGCGUGAUUGAAGAAGAUCUUCGGAUCGUAAAGAUCUGUUAUUAGGGAAGAAUGGAAUUGAUAGGAAAUGAUCAAUUUAUGACGGUGCCUAAUGAGGAAGCCCCGGCUAACUAUGUGCCAGCAGCCGCGGUAAUACAUAGGGGGCGAGCGUUAUCCGGAAUUAUUGGGCGUAAAGGGUACGUAGGCGGGCCUGCAAGUCUGAUUUGAAAGCACACGGCUUAACCGUGUGAGGUAAUUAGAAACUACAGGUCUAGAGAGUGGUAGAGGUAAAUGGAAUUCCAAGUGGAGCGGUGAAAUGCGUAGAGAUUUGGAGGAACACCAGUGGCGAAGGCGGUUUACUGGGCCACAUCUGACGCUGAUGUACGAAAGCGUGGGGAGCAAACAGGAUUAGAUACCCUGGUAGUCCA